rnacentral:rRNA from 1 species
GAUGAACGCUAGCGAUAGGCUUAACACAUGCAAGUCGAGGGGCAGCAUGGUCUUAGCUUGCUAAGACUGAUGGCGACCGGCGCACGGGUGCGUAACGCGUAUGCAACUUGCCUCACAGAGGGGGAUAACCCGUCGAAAGACGGACUAAUACCGCGUACACUUGGGAUAGGGCAUCCUGACCCAAGGAAAUGAAAUUCGCUGUGAGAUAGGCAUGCGUCCCAUUAGCUAGUUGGUGAGGUAGCGGCCCACCAAGGCGACGAUGGGUAGGGGAACUGAGAGGUUGAACCCCCACACUGGUACUGAGACACGGACCAGACUCCUACGGGAGGCAGCAGUGAGGAAUAUUGGUCAAUGGGCGAGAGCCUGAACCAGCCAAGUCGCGUGAAGGAUGACUGUCUUAUGGAUUGUAAACUUCUUUUAUACGGGAAUAACAAGAGCCACGUGUGGCCCCCUGCAUGUACCGUAUGAAUAAGCAUCGGCUAACUCCGUG